rnacentral:rRNA from 1 species
AACGAACGCUGGCGGCAGGCCUAACACAUGCAAGUCGAGCGAACCCUUCGGGGUUAGCGGCGGACGGGUGAGUAACGCGUGGGAAUAUGCCCUUCUCUACGGAAUAGUCUCGGGAAACUGGGGGUAAUACCGUAUACGCCCUUUGGGGGAAAGAUUUAUCGGAGAAGGAUUAGCCCGCGUUGGAUUAGGUAGUUGGUGGGGUAAUGGCCUACCAAGCCUACGAUCCAUAGCUGGUUUGAGAGGAUGAUCAGCCACACUGGGACUGAGACACGGCCCAGACUCCUACGGGAGGCAGCAGUGGGGAAUCUUAGACAAUGGGGGCAACCCUGAUCUAGCCAUGCCGCGUGAGUGAUGAAGGCCCUAGGGUUGUAAAGCUCUUUCAGCUGGGAAGAUAAUGACGGUACCAGCAGAAGAAGCCCCGGCUAACUCCGUGCCAGCCGCCGCGGUAA